rnacentral:lncRNA from 1 species
CACCAAUAUAUUCACCUUCAUAAUUUCCAACUGUAAUACUAUGCCCUUACAGCUUUCAUCACACAAUUAUCCUCGUUCCAAUCACUGGAAUUCUUCACACAGAACUGCCAUUCAGAUUACAAUGUUUCACACAAACACAGACUCAUUCUCUCUGCUGAACUACAAUCAGAUUUCAGCAUUCAAUCUUUCUUCUUCUCAAAUAAUACCAAUCACAUUUCUAUUCCAUAAUUCACUUCACAAUAUUCAAAAACUCUCAAUCCUCUUAUUCAAAGAAAAUAACAAACAAAAGAAAAGAGGUAGCACCAAGCUUACCCUGACUCACACUAUCACAGUGAUG